rnacentral:rRNA from 1 species
AUUGAACGCUGGCGGCAGGCUUAACACAUGCAAGUCGAGCGGAGAGAGGUAGCUUGCUACUGAUCUUAGCGGCGGACGGGUGAGUAAUGCUUAGGAAUCUGCCUAUUAGUGGGGGACAACAUUUCGAAAGGAAUGCUAAUACCGCAUACGUCCUACGGGAGAAAGCAGGGGAUCUUCGGACCUUGCGCUAAUAGAUGAGCCUAAGUCGGAUUAGCUAGUUGGUGGGGUAAAGGCCUACCAAGGCGACGAUCUGUAGCGGGUCUGAGAGGAUGAUCCGCCACACUGGGACUGAGACACGGCCCAGACUCCUACGGGAGGCAGCAGUGGGGAAUAUUGGACAAUGGGCGGAAGCCUGAUCCAGCCAUGCCGCGUGUGUGAAGAAGGCCUUAUGGUUGUAAAGCACUUUAAGCGAGGAGGAGGCUACUUUAGUUAAUACCUAGAGAUAGUGGACGUUACUCGCAGAAUAAGCACCGGCUAACUCUGUGCCAGCCGCCGCCGUAA